ensembl:lncRNA
UUCCUCUUCCUUCCUCAAGUGACAUUCAGUGCGUCACUCAUUUUUUCCCCUUACUUGUUCUGUUUAUGUACAACAAGCCCCCCCUGAAAAAAAUGCAGCAAAAGAAAACACAGACUUGUUCCUGUGUAAUAUCCACGAUCCUGCUCACUGAAAGAAAAUGACCUGAGAUGAUAAAACAAACAGGAGUUUAAAUCAAGUCAUUUGAUCAGUUUCCAUUAGACUGGCUUCCAUGUUUCUAAUAAAACAGUUGUUUGGGUGUUUUGUGUCUUUACAUGCUCACAGGCAGGAGUCUCUGCAGUCGUACUUUUCCCUCAUGUUGUCAUGUCUGGAAGAAGAGUCGAAACUUUGAACAGCCUCCAUACAUCUCAUCACUUGAUUACACACUGAUUUUCAAAAAGAAAAAAAAAAGACAAAAAAAAACUCUAGAAAAAAACCCUGCAGAUCUAUUAAGAAGACAGAUCUGAACUCUGGGAAAUACAAUGACAUGCAUGUGUGGGGGGUAUAUCUGAGAAGUGAAGCAUAGUGUAAGCAUUCAGUUGGCAAUUGGCAAACAGAGGGCGCUAUUUAUGCCAGUUUACCCUGUUUAUGCUUGCUGCUUUCUCUGCAAGCCACUUUGAAACCUGCCUUUAUCCCAGCUCCUUUUUUCAUGCUGUGUCCACCUAAUCAGUGUCAUGUCUACUGUCACUGAUGCCUGCUAGACCUCCCAAGGGUGGUCUAGCUGCUGUUCUCCUUGCCUCAGGCUUUUGAUGUAUGUGCGUGUUGGGGUGGGGUGGGGUGGGGGGUGCUCUCCACCACCUCAGGCUUUCCACAUGUAUAUGGAAAAUAUAUCUGCAGAUGGAAUAAUUCUACUGGACUGAAGUGGUCCUGAUAGAGUAAAAAUAACUUUGGACUUUCUGGAACCAAAUGUCAUCACUUUUAAUCAUCUUUACUCCUUUCUUGACCUUUGACUACCAAAUUCAAAUUAAUCAUCCCUGAGUUCAGAUUAAUUUGGUGCCACAUUUUGUCACAUUCCCUCAAGGCAUUACUGCGAUAUCAUGUUCAAGAGAAUGUGAAGGAUGGAUGAACAACCAGGAAACAUAACGCCUC